AACCAGCAGCUGCAGUCCAAUCCACUCGGCAGACACCACACAUGAAUCAGCAAGGGCAGUUCAAUCCAGAAGAGACUGACUGCCAGGCUUGCCAAUGGGCUAGAAACUGUGGAAGCAGCAAGAAGCCGCAGGAAUCUCAUGAGGAGUUCUCUGAGAGAAGCACUUAGCCUUGACAGCCAUCAUGAAACUUGCUUGGAGUUUUAGUUAUCAAACUCGUGAAUCAAUACAUGGCGUCCCAGAGUCUCCACCCCUUGUCCAGAAGGACCAUCAUUUCUCUCAGUGACCAUCUCCUCCACUGCUGUGGUCUGGAAGCUUCGAAGCUUCUGUUGCAUCAUCCCGUGACUGUGAAGGAAGAAGUCCAGGGAUUGUUUCUUUAGGAGACAUCAGAGAAGAUGGGAGGUGUGUGGGAAAGCGAGUGUUGGAGACUGGGCAAUGGUACGGAGGAAGGAGAAAACCCAUGACUGCAUGGUCUGAACUGUGAGGAUGCACCGAGACAAGUCUGUACUUAGUUGAGGGGACUUUCAGAGUAAUCUCAAGUCAUUGCCAUGGUGGCCUUAGAGUUGGAGUUUCUGUCAUUCCACAGUUCUUCUCUGCUUAGGUCAUGAAUGUCCUUACAAAAUGGUUCAGUGGCUUUUCAGACUUUGAGCUGUGGCCAUUAGACACAGUGUCAUUAUUAUGAUUUACCACCUGUCUUUGAGAGAGAAAGGGAGAGAGGGAGGAAGAGAGAGAGAGAGAGAGAGAGAGAGAGAGAGAGAGAGAGAGAGAGAAGAGAGAGAGAGUAAGAAUAGGAAACAUAACACUACACACUGCUGAAAAGCUUCUUUUUGAAAUUUGUGUUUCAGUUCUAAUGUUCAUCAACUAUAUGUAUAUAUUAUACAUGUGUGUGCCUUGUUAUAUGUAAUUGGAAAAUAUUAUAUUUUAAAUCUGUGUAUAACUUGGUGAUGCAGGUUCUGGUGUGAAAAGACUAAUAUAAGAUAAACAACUAUUCUAACAAAGAAUUCCACCUUUACAAUACGCUGACUAAGGUCAUCCUAGCCACGCCUGAACACUCAGCACUUUCCUCUUUCACCUAGACUAUGUUUAACAAGGCAGGGCUCUUGUAAGGUGCCUCUAGCUUGCCUUGCGUGCGUCAGCCCUUCCAUUCUGAGCCCUGCCCUUCUGUGCCCCUCCCCCCUUUAGCAAGUUGAAUUGUGUCUUCUAGUGAUACCUCUUGUGGCAAUGACUGACUUCUAGCUGGUGUACCUCAGGAGCUGCAAAGCCUUCUGGGAGAAGACUCACUAGCUGGUCCAGUUCACCAUUAGGUAACUCAUACCAUGCACAGGGGCGGUGGGAAUCCUUAGCCCUGUGCCCCAACUGCCUUUUAAACUGACUAAUUACUUAUCUUUAAAACAAUUAUAGGUGGAAGUCAGGUGUAUGAUCAGCAUUAAAAAAAAUGUUUGAGUCAGACAGUUUCUUAGACUAGUUGAACCUUCACCUUGUCCUAAUUACAAAAUACGGAACGAGCAAACAUGGAACUUAAUAGGACACACUAAUGUAAGCACCAUCUUCAGCGCCGGGUCAGCUUCUGAGUCCAACAAGACCUGAAUCGUCUGGUCUAAAUGGAGUUUGUGCAUGGCUAGCACCAAGUGAUCCCCUCUGCUUGUUUUAUGUCUCUUUACCCUAGGCUCUUAUUAUGAAAGGAACUAACUCCCUCCAUAGCAUCUCUUUAUUUACCAUAAGAAGAGUUUUAGCUCAGACACUCACAGUGGGGAAACUGGGUAUGAGAGUGUUAGGCUGCCAUCAUAGCAUGGAGCAGGGUUGGGCAUGGUUGGAGGAUCAUGAAUGUUGUGAGGUCCAGGGCAACUGGAGCUGUACAGUGACUCCCUGUCUCAAACCCAAACAAAACCAAUAAUAAAAGAUGGGAGCAACAGGUCGGCAGAAUGACCGUUUCCACUCUA